rnacentral:rRNA from 1 species
AACGAACGCUGGCGGCAUGCCUAACACAUGCAAGUCGAACGAAGCCUUCGGGCUUAGUGGCGCACGGGUGCGUAACGCGUGGGAAUCUGCCCUUGGGUUCGGAAUAACAGUUAGAAAUGACUGCUAAUACCGGAUAAUGUCUUCGGACCAAAGAUUUAUUGCCCAAGGAUGAGCCCGCGUAGGAUUAGCUUGUUGGUGAGGUAAAGGCUCACCAAGGCGACGAUCCUUAGCUGGUCUGAGAGGAUGAUCAGCCACACUGGGACUGAGACACGGCCCAG